GUGAGUAACGCGUGAGCAACCUGCCUAUGACAGUGGGAUAGCCUCGGGAAACCGGGAUUAAUACCGCAUAAAAUCGUAGAAACACAUGUUUUAACGGUCAAAGAUUUAUCGGUCAUAGAUGGGCUCGCGUCUGAUUAGCCAGUUGGUGAGAUAACAGCCCACCAAGGCGACGAUCAGUAGCCGGUCUGAGAGGAUGAACGGCCACAUUGGAACUGAGACACGGUCCAA
rnacentral:rRNA from 1 species